GACGAACGCUGGCGGCGUGCCUAAUACAUGCAAGUUGAGCGCUGAAGGUUGGUACUUGUACCAACUGGAUGAGCAGCGAACGGGUGAGUAACGCGUGGGGAAUCUGCCUUUGAGCGGGGGACAACAUUUGGAAACGAAUGCUAAUACCGCAUAAAAACUUUAAACACAAGUUUUAAGUUUGAAAGAUGCAAUUGCAUCACUCAAAGAUGAUCCCGCGUUGUAUUAGCUAGUUGGUGAGGUAAAGGCUCACCAAGGCGAUGAUACAUAGCCGACCUGAGAGGGUGAUCGGCCAAAUUGGGACUGAGACACGGCCCAAACUCCUACGGGAGGCAGCAGUAGGGAAUCUUCGGCAAUGGACGAAAGUCUGACCGAGCAACGCCGCGUGAGUGAAGAAGGUUUUCGGAUCGUAAAACUCUGUUGGUAGAGAAGAACGUUGGUGAGAGUGGAAAGCUCAUCAAGUGACGGUAACUACCCAGAAAGGGACGGCUAACUACGUG
rnacentral:rRNA from 1 species